AACGCUAGCUACAGGCUUAACACAUGCAAGUCGAGGGGCAGCAUGAACUUAGCUUGCUAAGUUUGAUGGCGACCGGCGCACGGGUGAGUAACACGUAUCCAACCUGCCGAUGACUCGGGGAUAGCCUUUCGAAAGAAAGAUUAAUACCCGAUGGCAUAGUUCUUCCGCAUGGUAGAACUAUUAAAGAAUUUCGGUCAUCGAUGGGGAUGCGUUCCAUUAGGUUGUUGGCGGGGUAACGGCCCACCAAGCCUUCGAUGGAUAGGGGUUCUGAGUGGAAGGUCCCCCACAUUGGAACUGAGACACGGUCCAAACUCCUACGGGAGGCAGCAGUGAGGAAUAUUGGUCAAUGGACGAGAGUCUGAACCAGCCAAGUAGCGUGAAGGAUGACUGCCCUAUGGGUUGUAAACUUCUUUUAUACGGGAAUAAAGUGAGGCACGUGUGCCUUUUUGUAUGUACCGUAUGAAUAAAGAUCGGCUAACUCCGUGCCAGCAGCCGCGGUAAUACGGAGGAUCCGAGCGUUAUCCGGAUUUAUUGGGUUUAAAGGGAGCGUAGGCGGACGCUUAAGUCAGUUGUGAAAGUUUGCGGCUCAACCGUAAAAUUGCAGUUGAUACUGGGUGUCUUGAGUACAGUAGAGGCAGGCGGAAUUCGUGGUGUAGCGGUGAAAUGCUUAGAUAUCACGAAGAACUCCGAUUG
rnacentral:rRNA from 1 species